AGGGAAUAUUAGUAAUGGGCGAAAGCCUGAACUAGCAACGCCGCGUGUGCGAAGAAGGCCUUCGGGUUGUAAAGCACUUUUUGAGAGGAUGAGGAAGGACGGUACUCUCAGAAUAAGUCUCGGCUAACUACGUGCCAGCAGCCGCGGUAACACGUAGGAGGCGAACGUUAUCCGGAUUUACUGGGCGUAAAGCGCGUGUAGGUGGUUUGGUAAGUAGGGCGUGAAAGCUCCUGGCUCAACUGGGAGAGGCCGUUCUAAACUGCCGAACUAGAGGAUGGUAGAGGGAGGUGGAAUUCCGGGUGUAGCGGUGGAAUGCGCAGAUAUCCGGAGAAACACCAGUGGCGAAAGCGGCCUCCUGGACCACUCCUGACACUCAGACGCGAAAGCUAGGGUAGCAAACGG
rnacentral:rRNA from 1 species